rnacentral:rRNA from 1 species
UACGUAGGGGGCAAGCGUUGUCCGGAUUUAUUGGGCGUAAAGGGUGCGUAGGCGGCGCGGUAAGUCGGGUGUGAAAUCUUGGAGCUUAACUCCGAAACUGCAUUCGAUACUGCCGUGCUUAAGGACUGGAGAGGAGACUGGAAUUUACGGUGUAGCGGUGAAAUGCGUAGAUAUCGUAAGGAAGACCAGUGGCGAAGGCGGGUCUCUGGACAGUUCCUGACGCUGAGGCACGAAGGCCAGGGGAGCAAACGGG